GGAAAAUUCAAUUGCUCCGCCGUGGUUGGAAUUGCCGCCGGAGAUUACGUCGUCGAUCCUUCAAAAGGUUGGGCCGAUUGAGAUGUUGAAGAGCGCCGAUAAAGUCUGUUCAUAUUGGCGUCGGUUGUGCCAUGAACCAGCUAUGUGGCGAGUUGUGAAAAUGCAGAAUGCCGGUGCCGAUUUCUGGGACAGGGAGGAUGAUUUGGAGAAGAUUUGCGGUCGAGCUGUGGAAUGUAGCAACGGGGAAUUAGUUGAUCUCAGCCUUGAGUAUUUUGGCAGCGAUAAUUUGCUCAGCUAUAUCGCUGGAAGAUCACCUCAGCUCAAACGUCUGCGACUGGUAUGUUCCUAUAAUGUCUCAGCUGUGGGGUUCAGUGCAGCGGUGAAGAAGUUCCCAUUAUUGGAGGAGCUGCAUCUCUACUACGUCGGUAUCAGCAAGGAAGCCAUUGAAACUAUAGGGCGUUCCUGUCGGGGUUUGAAGUCUUUCAAGCUGAACAACCAAAUCUGCAGACACCCGUACAUUGAAUACGAUGACGAGGCAAUUGCUAUUGCGCAGAACAUGCCGGAACUGCGCCACCUUCAACUCCUUGGGAAUAAGAUGACGAAUGAAGGACUUGAAGCAAUUCUCAAUGGGUGCCCUCGACUUGAAUCGCUUGAUCUGCGGCGAUGUCUCAAUGUCCAGCUGGAAGGGGAACUAGGGAAGCGAUGUUCUAGUCAGAUUAAGUCUCUAAGACACCCUGAGGACCCAACAGAAGAUUAUGGGCUGGAUACAGAAAUGCACGACUUUGAGUCUUUUGAUGAGGACUACCCAUCUGGAUUUUCUGACAUUGACCUCAUAUCAGACGACGAUGAUGAUUAUGAGUUUUCUUAUGGCAGCAACUAUUCUGAUGACGAUGAUGAUGAUGAGAUGUUCGAUUAUUGACGUCCCCUCUAUUCUGUUGAUCUCAUUAGUCUCUCAGUUUUAAUGUCAUUUGUACUCUUUAUGUUGUUGUUAUGGAUCCUUUAGUUUUCUAAAUGUUUAGCCCUAAGAAUAUAAAGAUAUCUGUUUCAGCAUUUGCUAAGUAACUGUAGCGUAUUAAGUGCCUAGCACAUGUGUAGAUUUGUGGUUGAUAAACUAAA
rnacentral:misc_RNA from 1 species